rnacentral:sRNA from 1 species
AGAGAUUGGUGUGGUCGAUAUGAAUGAAUGCAAAUACCGAUAUGUUAGGAGGAGA